rnacentral:misc_RNA from 1 species
GUUUUGGGUAAAAAGGGGUCUUUAGCCCCGUACCCUCAAGGUAUUCCGCAUCCGAGAGACACAGCAAUAAACCACGAGACGCAACAAACACAAGAGAGGGUCGUGCGGGACAUGAUUAUUACUCUAUGGUUCGCCCGAAGCCGCUCUCCAAAAGAAGAAGCAGCACCAUGCGAACGACACGCGAUUUGCCAACCGAAUUCCAUUGCCGUAGGUAAGCAACACAGGAAACCCACAAAUGCGGUCAAGGCUUGUCUUGCUCUUGAACCAACAAAUGAAGAGAAUAGCACGGGAGGACGUCAUUGCCCGAGCAAGGAUCCAA